GACGAACGCUGGCGGCGUGCCUAAUACAUGCAAGUCGAGCGAAGUUUUUCUGGUGCUUGCACCGGAAAAACUUAGCGGCGAACGGGUGAGUAACACGUAAAGAACCUGCCUCAUAGACUGGGACAACUAUUGGAAACGAUAGCUAAUACCGGAUAAUAGCAUUAACUGCAUGGUUGAUGUUUAAAAGUUGGUUUUGCUAACACUAUGAGAUGGCUUUGCGGUGCAUUAGCUAGUUGGUGGGGUAAAGGCCUACCAAGGCGACGAUGCAUAGCCGACCUGAGAGGGUGAUCGGCCACACUGGGACUGAGACACGGCCCAGACUCCUACGGGAGGCAGCAGUAGGGAAUCUUCCGCAAUGGGCGAAAGCCUGACGGAGCAACGCCGCGUGAGUGAAGAAGGAUUUCGGUUCGUAAAGCUCUGUUGUUAGGGAAGAAUGAUUGUGUAGUAACUAUACACAGUAGAGAUGGUACCUAACCAGAAAGCCACGGCUAACUACGUG
rnacentral:rRNA from 1 species